rnacentral:rRNA from 1 species
UACGAAGGGGGCUAGCGUUGCUCGGAAUCACUGGGCGUAAAGCGCACGUAGGCGGAUCCUUAAGUCGGGGGUGAAAUCCUGGAGCUCAACUCCAGAACUGCCUUCGAUACUGAGGAUCUCGAGUCCGGGAGAGGUGAGUGGAACUGCGAGUGUAGAGGUGAAAUUCGUAGAUAUUCGCAAGAACACCAGUGGCGAAGGCGGCCCCCCUGGGCCGCUCCUGACGCUGAGACGCGAAGGCCAGGGUAGCGAACGGGAUUAAGAAACCC